CUGCGGAGGGAUCAUUACCGAGUUUACAACUCCCAAACCCCUGUGAACAUACCACUUGUUGCCUCGGCGGAUCAGCCCGCUCCCGGUAAAACGGGACGGCCCGCCAGAGGACCCCUAAACUCUGUUUCUAUAUGUAACUUCUGAGUAAAACCAUAAAUAAAUCAAAACUUUCAACAACGGAUCUCUUGGUUCUGGCAUCGAUGAAGAACGCAGCAAAAUGCGAUAAGUAAUGUGAAUUGCAGAAUUCAGUGAAUCAUCGAAUCUUUGAACGCACAUUGCGCCCGCCAGUAUUCUGGCGGGCAUGCCUGUUCGAGCGUCAUUUCAACCCUCAAGCACAGCUUGGUGUUGGGACUCGCGUUAAUUCGCGUUCCCCAAAUUGAUUGGCGGUCACGUCGAGCUUCCAUAGCGUAGUAGUAAAACCCUCGUUACUGGUAAUCGUCGCGGCCACGCCGUUAAACCCCAACUUCUUGAAUGUUGACCUCGGAUCAGGUAGGAAUACCCGCUGAACUUAAGCAUAUCA
rnacentral:misc_RNA from 1 species